rnacentral:rRNA from 1 species
GAUGAACGCUGGCGGCGUGCCUAAUACAUGCAAGUCGAGCGAACUGAUUAGAAGCUUGCUUCUAUGACGUUAGCGGCGGACGGGUGAGUAACACGUGAGCAACCUGCCUGUAAGACUGGGAUAACUUCGGGAAACCGAAGCUAAUACCGGAUAGGAUCCUCUCCUUCAUGGGAGAUGAUUGAAAGAUGGUUUCGGCUAUCACUUACAGAUGGGCCCGCGGUGCAUUAGCUAGUUGGUGAGGUAACGGCUCACCAAGGCAACGAUGCAUAGCCGACCUGGGAGGGUGAUCGGCCACACUGGGACUGAGACACGGCCCAGACUCCUACGGGAGGCAGCAGUAGGGAAUCUUCCGCAAUGGACGAAAGUCUGACGGAGCAACGCCGCGUGAGUGAUGAAGGCUUUCGGGUCGUAAAACUCUGUUGUUAGGGAAGAACAAGUAUGAGAGUAACUGCUCGUACCUUGACGGUACCUAACCAGAAAGCCACGGCUAACUACGUGCCAGCAGCCGCGGUAAAAC